GUGGUUGUGGCUCAGAGGUAGAGCGCAUCCCUAGCAUGCAUGAGGCACUGAGUUUGAUCCUCAGCACCACA
rnacentral:tRNA from 1 species